AAGGGAAGCGCUGGAUCCCGGGCUGUGUCCCUGGUGCCCUGGGCUCUGGGGCCUGUGCUGCUGGAAUCGCUCUCCCGGGAGGCGCAUCCCCCU
rnacentral:pre_miRNA from 1 species